CGAUACGAGUUUGAUCCUGGCUCAGAACGAACGCUGGCGGCAUGCCUAACACAUGCAAGUCGAACGAAGCCUUCGGGCUUAGUGGCGCACGGGUGCGUAACACGUGGGAAUCUGCCCUUCGGUUCGGAAUAACAGUUAGAAAUGACUGCUAAUACCGGAUGAUGACGAAAGUCCAAAGAUUUAUCGCCGAAGGAUGAGCCCGCGUAGGAUUAGGUAGUUGGUAGGGUAAUGGCCUACCAAGCCGACGAUCCUUAGCUGGUCUGAGAGGAUGAUCAGCCACACUGGGACUGAGACACGGCCCAGACUCCUACGGGAGGCAGCAGUGGGGAAUAUUGGACAAUGGGCGAAAGCCUGAUCCAGCAAUGCCGCGUGAGUGAUGAAGGCCUUAGGGUUGUAAAGCUCUUUUACCAGGGAUGAUAAUGACAGUACCUGGAGAAUAAGCUCCGGCUAACUCCGUG
rnacentral:rRNA from 1 species